GCCAGUUUUCCCAGCACCAUUUAUUAAAUAGGGAAUCCUUUCCCCAUUGCUUGUUUUUCUCAGGUUUGUCAAAGAUCAGAUAGUUGUAGAUAUGCGGCGUUAUUUCUGAGGGCUCUGUUCUGUUCCAUUGAUCUAUAUCUCUGUUUUGGUACCAGUACCAUGCUGUUUUGAUUACUGUAGCCUUGUAGUAUAGUUUGAAGUCAGGUAGCGUGAUGCCUCCAGCUUUGUUCUUUUGGCUUAGGAUUGACUUGGUGAUGCGGGCUCUUUUUUGGUUCCAUAUGAACUUUAAAGUAGUUUUUUCCAAUUCUGUGAAGAAAGUCAUUGGUAGCUUGAUGGGGAUG
rnacentral:lncRNA from 1 species